rnacentral:rRNA from 1 species
CCUACGGGAGGCAGCAGUGAGUAAUAUUGGUCAAUGGACGAGAGUCUGAACCAGCCAAGUAGCGUGAAGGAUGACUGCCCUGUGUGUUGUAAACUUCUUUUAUAAAGGAAUAAAACGGGGCACUAGUGCCUUGUUGCGUGUACUUUAUGAAUAAGCAUCGGCUAACUCCGUGCCAGCAGCCGCGGUAUUACGGCGGAUUCGAGCGUUAUCCGGAUUUAUUGGGUUUAAAGGGAGCGUAGAUGGGUUGUUAAGUCAGUUGUGAAAGUUUUGGGCUCAAACGUAAAAUUGCAAUUGAGACUGGCAGUCUUGAGUACAGUUGAGGUAGGCGGAAUUCGUGGUGUAGCGGUGAAAUGCUUAGAUAUCACGAAGAACCCCGAUUGCGAAGGCAGCUUACUAAACUGUGACUGACAUUGAUGCUCGAAAGUGUGGGUAUCAAACAGGAUUAGAUACCCUAGUAGUC